AUGAAAGUGGGCGAGGACGCUCAGGAAAACACACACAUGGCCCAAAGGUUGACAAUAACAACCCGAAAUUCAACACCAAAACUGAUGCACACUUUGAGGUCAACGAAAACAACAACUCGCCUCAAAGUUGAGCAGUCCAUCCUUUUAACCCCAUCACCCCUCGGCCAUUACACAUUCCUUUAUGCACCCCAGCUGACCUCUGCGCCCUUUGCCACCGACUAACACGGCAGUUAAGUCCAAGGUUGAGCGGACAUAACAACGGCAGUGCCAGGUACCACUGGUGGAUAAGAGGACCUGACAGCUGUAGCAUUGUGCAGUGAUCAUCACCCAUCAGGGAGGGUGCAGGGGGGUGACACCCAUCCCAUUGACCACCCUCAGGGAGCCCGGCUCCAUUGUUGCAGCCUACCCACGUCGCACAUUCCUGGAUUGAACCAUGCCGUGUCGUACUGCCGCACAACAGCGACGUGCAACAGAUGGAUUCAACACUGAAUAGUGUGACAAACGCACAUGGUCAAUUAAUUGGAAGAGCGGCUGUUGUGGUAGACUCGCCUUACCAAGGGGACCCAUCAGGGAACAACUUGACUGCCCUACACUGUACUCCAUUCACACAGAGCGAUCAGCACCCCAAAGGAAAAACUUCAUACACAUUAUCUUCGGAAGAUGGAGCUCGUUUGACAAGAGAAAUUCUUCCCAUCGUUUUUGCGGCUGUAUCUCCAGAGCAACGUGGAGGAGGAAGCCGUAGUGCUAGUAGGUCAACAAAAACAAAGCAAUACAAUAAACUUUUUGAAUUAUUUGAACAAGUGGCACCAACGUGUUGAAGUGGAAAGCAUGAAAAUGCCAGCAGAGUUAGCGCAGCCCGCCCGCGUAGGCAUUAGCAGAUUAGCCGCUAAUAACUAGCCGGCAACCACCGGACAAAAGCAUCAAUAAAGCGUGUCAUCUUUUGAUCGGGCACAUUUGCAAUUAGCGAUGAUUUUAAUGGUGUGUGUGGGAUCAUAACUUUAAAAAUUAUGUUUAU